UUAACUGAAGCCAAAAAGAGGCAUGUUUCUGUUAAAAAUAUUAUUGAAAAAAUUUUUCCAGUUAAA
rnacentral:tRNA from 1 species